AUCAACUGUAACCGAAGUGUGUUUUCCUUGAGCAUCCUAGUAUCAGCCGGGGCUGAUGAUACGAUAAUCAACAAACAAUGGGCUUUUCCCAUCCCGCCGCUGGUAGAAACCCUUGGAUUUAAUCUGAUAGUCUCACGGCGCAAGUUUGGGUUGUUUUUUUUUUUUUGGAUUGUGCUUUGCCAGGCCUGGGAGCUGGGGGCUGGCAAGUCUGCAGCUUGCCCAACUCCCUCAGAUCGCUAUCGGGAAGGAGCAGGCGAGUGAUGGAAAGAAACAAUGAUGGCAAAAAGAGCCGUGGUUCACAAAACCCGGGGAUUGUUACUGACACGCGUGUGCCGUGGCACCGGCUCUCUCCGGCUACGCGUUACAGGGGGAUAAGAUCUCGAUCUGACUCAUGGCUGGCAGAUACAGACCGUCCAAGUUAUAUAUAUCCCCACGGAGAAGCGUGGAGACCGUACCCGUCGGAGGCAGAGCCUGCUGGCUUUCCCAGGGAGGGAGGUCACGCCGGAGCGGGAAGGGAGCAGAUGUGAGGCGCUUGCAGCACCUGGGCUUUGGGAGAUGGUGCCACCACCACCACCACCGUGCUCUGCCAGCAGCCCGGGACGGUCCUGCUGGGGAUCUCCCACCUCAGGGCGAUCAAUCCCCCAGUACAGCCCUCAAGUCAAGCACCGUGCCUUGGACCAAAUAACCCUGAGUGACUGGAGCGAUACAAUCUUUACACAAUCAAACUAAGAUGCUGCAUCUACUAAGGAAAAAUAAAUAAAUCUUAUUUCAUAAACUUGUUUAAGCUGAAAUGUUCAUUGGUAAGCCUGUAAAAGUGGGAACAUCUGUGCUCCUGCUGGGAUUUGAUGUCUCACCACAAACCUUUCCAUAAGCACUUUGUCUCUGAUAGGAAACAAAGAAGAAAAUACCUGAUCCCCAGCCUCAGUUGGGCAGCUCCUUCUAUCUUCACGCCCUGACCCACUGAGCAUUCCUCCCAGCAACGAGCCGCUGCCCAGGGCUACCUCCGCCAUGGAAGCUGGCUAACUAAUCUCUUAGCAAACACUUGCAGCAAACCUGAAGAGAGUUUCAAAAGGCGACGAAGAAGGGGAGAAAAAAAAAAAAACAAACUUUCUACAGAUAAAGCCUACAGUGUCUCUAAGAGAAGAGAAUCAGAACCUGAAUGUAGCUCCAUAUUCUCACGUUUUCUCUUAGUGAACUGCUGAGAUAUAAAGUUGUGGCCACUUAAUGAACUUAUAUAUAUAUUUUAAUCUUAAUCCAGUUUCCUGCUCCCUUCCACUAACCUGCCGUAACCCAGUUUGCUUUAUUUCUGCCUGCCAAUAGUCCUCCGAGUAUGCUUACAGGUAUUUGCAAAGAGCUGCUUUUAUCACAGCAACACCGCUGGGAUGAUAUGGCACUUGAAAAGUCCAUCCUGCGUGCCCUGCCUGCACACGGGGUAACCUCUCCUUAGGAGCUUAUAGGAAAAUCCACUGUUGAAAUAAAUAACACCUCUCAACAAAUGAUCAAAGAAGAAAUAAAUCUUUUACCCUUAUAAGACUUUUUAAAACUGAAAUCCCAUUUUUUAACUGGAUAACAGUUAAGAGGCUACCGGCCACCUAUUUUUCUGGGAGCUACGUUUUAAAUGUUUGCUGCAUGGAUAUUGGACAGACAAACGGAUCUGUAGUUCUUGGGAGCAAAAGCUUUUAAAAUAAAGUUUGUGCGUAGUAUAUGAAAACAUAUUGUUUGGAAUUUAAGUUCUAAUAUCUAGGAAUAAACAGAGCAUUAAAUCAAGCAAAACUGUGACAAGGCCAAUAUGCACAUGGAUGAUGCCAGCGAGGCAUCUCCAG
rnacentral:lncRNA from 1 species